GACGGGGGGGCAAGUGUUCUUCGGAAUCACUUGGGCGUAAAGCGGCACGUAGGCGGAUUGUUAAGUCAGGGGUGAAAUCCUGGAGCUCAACUCCAGAACUGCCUUGAUACUGGCGAUCUUGAGUCCGGGAGAGGUGAGUGGAACUCCGAGUGUAGAGGUGAAAUUCGUAGAUAUUCGGAAGAACACCAGUGGCGAAGGCGGCUCACUGGCCCGGUACUGACGCUGAGGUGCGAAAGCGUGGGGAGCAAACAGG
rnacentral:rRNA from 1 species